CUGAAACUGCCACUCUGCAACGGCUUCCCACACUUCAAAGAGAGGUCUCUGGCCCAUCUACCCUCAGUCUCUCCUAAAAGAGGUUUGUACUCCGGAGAUGGCUCAUUGGCAAAGUGCUUGCUGCACAAUUAGGAAGACUGCAAUUCAGAUCUGCAGUGCCCACAUAAAUACUGGAUGUCAAUUAAUACAGAGUUCCACAGCUGUUCAGAAUGUAGAGAACGUCGGAUGCUCAACCCUAAACGAGAUAUCUGUAUCGAACAUUCUCCCAUGUGGCUCAGGAAACAUAUUGGAAGAGGUGGUAAAAAUGUUGUAAGAGCCAGAAGCUGAGGAGGACUAUGGCAAAAUAGUACAUAUUAGACACGACUUGGUUCAUUGCAUUCAUGAACUCAAAAUGCUGUGGUGCCUGCACAGGACCAACAUGGGAUCAAGUCAGUCAAAUUUAGCACAGAUCAAGGAAGGGUUCACUUUGUUCCACCUCUAGCUGAAGAGUUUGGGCAGGUUUAGGUUUCUGGAAUAGAAAAAGUCAUUUCCCCACACCCAGGGAAAUGACCUUUAUUAAGCUGCCUAGGUGGAUAGCCUACAAGUAUGCACAUAAGGACAACAGCGAUUGGACUAAAAGCAGAAUGAAAUUGCAAAGGGGAUAUGAGCAAGGGGAUUCUGGGACAUGUCGGGGGAGGAGGGGGUUGGUAUGAUCAAAAUACAUACAUGUAUAAAAUUCUCAAAUAAUAAAUAUAUUAAAGCUGGUUUGAACUAAUAUUGAAAGUAUAGUGAAAAUUGUUUGUAUUGUAUAGGAAAAAGACACAAAAGGAUAUCUUAAAAUAUGUAAGAGAGUUGUAGAGGCCAAACAUCCUUGAGGUUUGUCAAAGGCAAUCAUGUACAUAACAAGGCAAAGCUGUGAGAAAUGAAGCUGUUUAAAAUGUGGACACUCUAGAGAUAGGCAGAAAUUUCUGCAUUAAAUUUCACUUUCAUUUGUAGAAAUCUAUGUCUAUCCUACAUUAUUUUGGGCCAAUAUCUACAAUUCAGUAAUCUCUUACUAUAUUUGAAACCCAGUUUCAACUCUUUGAAUCAAUAUUACCAUCAACCUAAAAAGCUUUUCUGAAUUUACUUCAUUUAUUAACUUUGCUAUGUACAGAUACAGAUUUAAAUAUAGGUAUUUGUAUCAAAAGAACCUCCAUAUUACCUUGGAUUCUAGCUUACAUUGAAUCUCAUGUCUGUCUCUCAGCCAUCCCAGGAAUGUGUUUUUCAUUCCUCAAAUAGCAAUUCUUUGACUUUUUUUCUUUCCAAUUUUAUCC